GACGAACGCUGGCGGCGUGCUUAACACAUGCAAGUCGAACGGAAAGGCCUCUUUCGGGGGGUACUCGAGUGGCGAACGGGUGUGUAACACGUGAGUAACCUGCCCUUGACUUUGGGAUAACUUCAGGAAACUGGGGCUAAUACCGGAUAGGAGCUCCUGCUGCAUGGUGGGGGUUGGAAAGUUUCGGCGGUUGGGGAUGGACUCGCGGCUUAUCAGCUUGUUGGUGGGGUAGUGGCUUACCAAGGCUUUGACGGGUAGCCGGCCUGAGAGGGUGACCGGCCACAUUGGGACUGAGAUACGGCCCAGACUCCUACGGGAGGCAGCAGUGGGGAAUAUUGCACAAUGGGUGGAAGCCUGAUGCAGCAACGCCGUGUGCGGGAUGACGGCCUUCGGGUUGUAAACCGCUUUCGCUCAUGACGAAGCUUUGUGUGACGGUAGUGGGUAAAGAAGCACCGGCUAACUACGUG
rnacentral:rRNA from 1 species